rfam:Micromonospora coxensis strain DSM 45161 genome assembly, chromosome: I
CUUGACCGAGCCGAGCAGCAGCGGCGCGCCGUCCGCCCGGUCCUGCCCGUACGUGGCGAGCAGCGCCUGCGCCUC